UGGGUGUGAAGAGAGCAGACCACCUGAAGAAUGGCUCUUCUGUGUAUAACACAUCCAACAGCAGCUUAGGCUUACUCCUCCCGUCUGGCAGGAGGCUAUGACUUUCUCUGACAUUACCCCUAUAUAU